rnacentral:lncRNA from 1 species
GGGUUGCUUCAGAACUUUGAGAAGGAUCACCAACUCCUCAAGGAGUCGGUGAACUCAGUGGGAGGUUCAUCUUCUGGUUCUCGACCCUUUGAGAAAGGGAAGAAGAACAAGAAGAAGAAAGUGAAGAAGGUGCAAGUUUAGGCUGAGACAUUAGUGCAGAGCCAGACCAAAAAGAUCAAGCCUGAUAAGAGUCUAUUCUACUGGCAAGCACCCUAGAUUAGAUAGUGUGUCAGAUA